AAUAGGUUGGCAGAACACAUGCACCUGACUUAGGAUCAGCCCAUGGGUAGAUCAACCCACCUAUUA
rnacentral:tRNA from 1 species